GCCUCCCCGAGCUGAGCCGCGCGUCCCGAGCCCAGCCUCUCCGGGGAGGAGGGACCCGGCGGCGCGGCGUGGGUCGGGAGCGGGUGCCUGGGACUACUUCUCGUUUGAAAGUUUUCAGAGGCCAAAAGUUUGAGCCGGGGCUGCGGAAGGAUCCGGCUCUGGCCGUUGCCGCGCUCGGCGACAAUUGCCGACGGAAAUUUGCAUGUGAAUAAGCGGAGGAGCCCGGGGUGGAGUAGGGAGGGCGAGGCCGCAGGCAGCUGUGUCCACCGUGCUCUGGGCCGGGCGGGGAGCAGCUGAGGCCACGUUGGGGGACCCCGGGCCCGGGGCAGGGCUUUGGGGGAAGUGGCCUAGCCGUGGGUGCGCCCCUAGCCCAGCGGCUUCUCUCCCUCCCCAGGGCCCCGUGGCCGCGGCUUUAGGCGUCCAGAGGAUCGAUCGCCGCCAGACACCCCUGGCCGUGAUUGCCUGAGCACUUGACCGCGAGGGAUGGGGGCGCAGCGGCCUCAGGGCAGGGAGUUUAGGGCGCCCCAAGGGAGCAGCCUGGACCAGUGCCUCGCGGACGUAUUGCGCCCCGCUGCCCCAGGGGGGACCCGCGUCGACAUGCUCCUCGGUCACCGUCCUCCUCCUGCCCGGGCGCCGCCUGCCUAAGGUGGCCCCAGAAAGCACAAACGGGUCGGGCGGAUCUGCCGCUGGCGCCGGCGCAGCCCCUCCCACGUACCCCUUCCGGCUGAUUUAUUUCUCCACCACGAUGCCAGGCACGGGCACCCUGUGCCAAGCCUGGUUAAGCGCCAGGAGUCCAAAAUGCCUGCCAUAGUCCCUGCGCAAAGUUCACAGCCUCGUGCUGGGGACAAACAGCGCCCCCUCCCCACUCCAACACAGGGUGGUGAGUGCGAUGGCAGAAGGCGCUGGGGGCUCUCCUGGAGUAGGAGGGCUAUGCCUGCCCUGAAGGGAGACUGAAAGGCUGAGAGGGACCUAGGACUCGGGAGCCUGGGGGAGUGGCUGCAGAAACCGCAGAGCAUGGUGGCAGAGGGAGGCACAGAAAGCGGGACAAAUCUCACACCUGACUCCAGCGAGCCUUUCCUGGCACACCUCUUGCCAAGUGCUGAGCACUCUGGAAACAGCCAGUGCAGACGGCCUAUCCCCCCCUGUAGCUGCUGCUGGGAGCCUCCCUCGCCUGCGUCCUCCCAGAAGCUGGCCUCACUUCUCCAGGCCUGGGGUAACAUCUCGGGGUCAGCGCCCCAGGAGAGGAGGCGUCUGGAGGCAGCAGAGAUGUUUAUGUAACAGCAGCCCGGCAGCCUGGAGGAGCAGAUUUUCCAUAGAAGGAAGCGCGGGGCUGUGCGGCUCCCAGGCUGAGGACACUGCCCACCACGACGUCCUCUGCUCCCGAGAAGAGAGUGGCCCAUUCGAUGUCCACUCGUCAAGCCGCCCAGCAGCCAGGCACAUUCAUAAGCCCAUGUUACAGAUGGUGGAGCUGGGUGCACAGACCUGAGGGAAGCACAGGCCUCAGCCUCCCAGCUCCCAACGCCUGCACCACCCACAGCCGGGAGUACCCCAUGGACAGCUGGUACUGAGGAGAAGCAAGGGAUGAGGGGGAUGGGCCUCCCCUCCCCACCAGCCUGGGAAGGGGGUGGGCCCCUGGCAAGUAGGUGAGAAGCUUCAUUCACAAGUUGUCCGGGCUCCCCAUUCCUCUUUUUCAGGCCAGUGGGUGUGGGCAGUGGGGGAAGGCAGGGGUCCUACCGAGCAGGAGUGUAUCUGCUGCCCUGGGGCCUGGAGACCUUCUCCUGCAGGUCAGGGGGGCAGCACCGGGCAGCGGGCAUUGCAGGGGCUAAAGAGAAACAAAAGAAAGCAGGUUGUGUGCAGGGCACCCCAGCCACUCCAGAAACCCAAUCAGAAGGUGGGGGCUAGGACCCCAAGAAGCCGAAUUGGGGUGCAGUGCUGCCAGGCCUCCCCCGUGGGAGUCACUUUGGGCUUCCUGUCCCAGCUUGUGGUGGGAGCUGGGACAAGGUUCCCGGGGUACCCCUGAGGGCAGGGGUACCCUGAAUGAAGGGGCUGUUCCCAAGCUGGCCAAGGAGCCUGGAAGCAGAGGAGAUGGGGCCGCAGAGCCGGGUUUGCAGAGGGGAGAGGCAGACGUGGCCCGCAGCCCCCUCUUCUUCAGAGGCCACGUGCAGGUGCGGAGGGGAGAGCAGCCUAGGCGUUGCACCCCAGGAGACUGAACUGGGUCAGUUCCCCCUCGUUUGCUGCCAGAGAAAUGGGGGUAUCAUUGUCAGGGUGGGCUAAGGAGGCCCUGCUGACAUUGGCCCAACCAGGCCCCUCCUUUGCGGUUGCUGUGGGGGCUUUCGAGAGCAGAGCAGACCCCAAGUGUGUGGAGAGGCGAAAGCACAGCUGGUCAGCACACGGGGACAGCGACGGAGCUCCUGCCGCCUGUUUGGCCCCAGGUGCUGUGCAGCACGGAGACCCAGGAAUCCAUCUUGCCUCUUGCUGCCCCCAUGACCCUGUGGCGCUGGGGGGCAGGGAGCGCGAUGCUCCCCAUUUUUCAGGAGGGAAGCUGAGGCUCAGAGACAUCAUGAGGAUGCCAGCUCAAGGCCCAGCCAGGCCUUGGUUCUCAGCUGCUGUCAUCCAGUAGGGUAAGUCGGCCCCCCAGGGGGUGUUGGGGGACACUCCUCCCCUCCCCCACACUCACGGUCUGUUCACUGUGCAAGGCAGCAGGCUGGACUUGGAGCAGGGACCAUCGCUUGGCAUGGCCACGUUGGAGUGGCCCCUGGGACUGAAAGCAGGGGGCGUGGGGGCUCUGAAGCAGGGCUAAGUGUGGGGACUUCCUGUGGCGGGUACCCUCCCGGGUCCUGGGUGGGGGCCACCACCAGGCAGCUAUGGGAACAUUCCAGACCACCUAGGGGUAGGGCUCCUUCACCUCUUGAAGCUGACUGUAAAAGACAUCUGACCUGCAUGCGAAGCUCAAGCUCAGAGGCCUCCAGGGUGUCCGGCCUCCAGGGUCCCUCCUACGCAGCCUCCAUGUCCCCAUCCACUGCAGCCCCUGACCAUCGGGCGCACCGUGGGGUCUUCGAGGGCUGCCAGGCCUCAGGCUCUGCUGCACCAAGUGAUUUUGAAAGUCCCAUCUGCCUUUAUCCACUUAAAAAGAACUUGGGGCCAGGCGCAGUGGCUCAAGCCUGUAAUCCCAGCACUUUGGGAGGCCAAGACG